UACCCGCUCCCCCGAGUGGUGGGACGCUUAUUGGGCCUAAAGCAUCCGUAGCCGGCUGGGUAAGUCCCCUGUUAAAUCCAGCGAUUCAAUCGCUGGACUGCGGGGGAUACUGCCCGGCUAGGGGGCGGGAGAGGCCGGCGGUAUUCCCGGGGUAGGGUGAAAUCUUAUAAUCCCGGGAGGACCACCAGUGGCGAAGGCUGCCGGCUGGAACGCGCCCGACGGUGAGGGAUGAAAGCUGGGGGAGCGAACCGGAUUAGAUACCCUUGUAGU
rnacentral:rRNA from 1 species